rnacentral:lncRNA from 1 species
AAGGAACCCAGGCCGGCCGGGCGCUCUUCCCGUCCCAGUUUAUCUAGGACCCUGCGCUCGCGCUGGCGCCGCCCCACCGUAGCUUUUCAGCUUAGUUUUUUAGCCCCUGGUGCUCGCGCAGCGAAGUGACAAUGGGGAAGGGAGCAAGUGGCAGUGGCGACGGCAGCCUAAGAGGCAGAAUGGACGAAAGGGGCGAGGCCUGCGAGAGUUCCCCAUGGAAGGAAUUCCAUUUUAUGCCUGCAGACCUUGGGAACUGGGAUUUCUCAGGGUGGAACUGCGGGGCGCCCUCCUCCCCAAAGCGCGGAGGACAGGAAGCACCAGACACAGGAGGUACCUCGGGCCCAUUUCCCACUCGCCACCGGAGUUCAGUUCCACAGAAUUCGAACCUCACUUCCAAGAACCCACCACUGGACCCUCUGUGGUGAAGAAGGGAGCACACAGACUUCCUUCAAGAACUCCCAGACUGCUGCUUUCUCUUCAGUGUCUACUGUCUACUUCCAGACUCUUUCCAGGCUCUACCACUAGGUCUUGCUCUGACCUGAAGAGUGACUAAAGGAAGGUAUGAAGGCUCAAGGUGCAUGAGUGGAACUUCUCUGUGGAAAUGACUUGGGCGUGCAGGACUUUAGGAUUCUGGUAAGGGGGAAAAGUAGCAUCCAGGAGGAAGGACGAGGACUUUUCCCAGGUCCACGUAUAGUUUGAGCCUGUUUGAAAGAGCCAAAGAUCUCAGAGACUCAUAUGAGGGCUAAGCCUUUUUCAGAAGUUUGAAACCAGCAGGAAAUUUGGGGUCAGGCUUUAGCUAGUGAAAAGCAAU